UACGUAGGGUGCAAGCGUUAAUCGGAAUUACUGGGCGUAAAGCGUGCGCAGGCGGUUUUGUAAGUCUGUCGUGAAAUCCCCGGGCUCAACCUGGGAAUGGCGAUGGAGACUGCAAGGCUAGAGUUUGGCAGAGGGGGGUAGAAUUCCACGUGUAGCAGUGAAAUGCGUAGAUAUCAAGAGGAACACCUGAGGUGAAGACGGGUUGCUGGGCUGACACUGACGCUGAGGCGCGAAAGCCAGGGGAGCAAACGGG
rnacentral:rRNA from 1 species